rnacentral:rRNA from 1 species
AUGGCUCCGCAUUACCAGGCCGCUACGCUGAUUACUUCUCCGUCCUAUCCGAACUCCAUCACCUGGUCAAGCGAGAACUUGGUGGCUGUUGCUUCUGGUCACAUUGUCACUAUCCUGAACCCAGCCACAAUUGAAGGGCCUCGUGGAUUUAUCUUGCUUCGCUCUAGAGAUCCUUUUCCCAUUGGAGUGGUUAAAAGAGAAGAUCUCCUUGAACCAUGUUUAGUCCCCACUUUCUUAGUGCGUGAUACUGAACCAUGCGCGCGGUCAAUUUCAUGGUCUCGACAAGGCUUUGCACCUAAUUCUGGGUAUGUAUAG